GUACUCACAUUGGCAAUACAUGCAUUAAACCUGGACAUACAGAGAAGAUUAGCAUGGCCCUUGCACAAUGAUGACAUGUAAAUUCAUGAAGCAUUCCAUGUUUUU